rnacentral:rRNA from 1 species
AAUAGAUACCCUGGUAGUCCACGCCGUAAACGUUGGGCGCUAGGUGUGGGGCUCAUUCCACGAGUUCCGUGCCGCAGCUAACGCAUUAAGCGCCCGCCUGGGGAGUACGGCCGCAAGGCUAAAACUCAAAGGAAUUGGACGGGGGCCCGCACAAGCGGCGGAGCAUGUUGCUUAAUUCGAUGCAACGCGAAGAACCUUACCUAGGCUUGACAUGCACGGAAAUCCUCCAGAGAUGGUGGGUCCGUAAGGGCCGUGCACAGGUGGUGCAUGGUUGUCGUCAGCUCGUGUCGUGAGAUGUUGGGUUAAGUCCCGCAACGAGCGCAACCCCGUUCUAUGUUGCCAGCACGUCAUGGUGGGGACUCAUAGGAGACUGCCGGGGUCAACUCGGAGGAAGGUGGGGAUGACGUCAAAUCAUCAUGCCCCUUAUGUCUAGGGCUGCAAACAUGCUACAAUGGCCGGUACAAAGGGCUGCGAUACCGCGAGGUGGAGCGAAUCCCAAAAAGCCGGUCUCAGUUCGGAUUGGGGUCUGA